GACGAACGCUGGCGGCGUGCUUAACACAUGCAAGUCGAACGGAAAGGCCCUGCUUUUGUGGGGUGCUCGAGUGGCGAACGGGUGAGUAACACGUGAGUAACCUGCCCUUGACUUUGGGAUAACUUCAGGAAACUGGGGCUAAUACCGGAUAGGAGCUCCUGCUGCAUGGUGGGGGUUGGAAAGUUUCGGCGGUUGGGGAUGGACUCGCGGCUUAUCAGCUUGUUGGUGGGGUAGUGGCUUACCAAGGCUUUGACGGGUAGCCGGCCUGAGAGGGUGACCGGCCACCUUGGGACUGGGGUACCGGCCCGACUCCUUCGGGAGGCAGCCGUGGGGAAUAUUGCACAAUGGGCGGAAGCCUGAUGCAGCAACGCCGCGUGCGGGAUGACGGCCUUCGGGUUGUAAACCGCUUUCGCCUGUGACGAAGCGUGAGUGACGGUAAUGGGUAAAGAAGCACCGGCUAACUACGUG
rnacentral:rRNA from 1 species